GCGGUCGUGGCGGAACUGGCAGACGCACUAGCUUGAGGUGCUAGCGCCGCAAGGCGUGGAGGUUCGAGUCCUCUCGACCGCACCA
rnacentral:tRNA from 6 species